GCAACGGCUGUGUAUCUCGUUGAAAGAGCCAGCGUUAUAUCUGCAUUGGCCGGUUGCUAAGCUGACGGUUUAUGCAGGAAACAUUGGUGGGCAGUUUAUAUUGAUUUUGAUGGCGGUCGUUCAAUCUGCCAAUUGAUCUCAGCAGUGCAUUACCCUGACACUCUAGCUGGAUCAGGCGAUGAGUACAUCAGGCACAAUUGUUUAUAUCCUUUUAUGUUCACGUUGUUGUUGUUGAUACCAUUAGUAGUGCCAGUCUAAAAUACACAAGUGUUUUACAACAACGUGUUCAUAUCCCCACUUCUCCCGCAGGCACAACUUUUUAGAAGUCAGGAUUUUCUUUGAAGAAUUGAACUACAAAUGGAUAAGACAAGAACCAGAAUACACAUCACAACAGCUAAUAGCGGAUAUAGGCGGCCAGGCUGGUUUCUGUAUUGGAGCAAGUAUCCUCAGUAUCAUGGAGCUAGGUGAAUGGCUGCUGAACCUACUGGUCGGGGCUUUCAAGACUCUGACCGGAAGAAACUCAGUGACAAAUACUACCGAAAAGAAGGAAAAGAGGGCGGCCUCUUGAAAUAUUUAUUGAACCUAGCUACAAUAUACAUUUCUGUGCAUAGGAAAUACUUCUAUAUAAUGUAUAUGUGAGCACGGCAUAUUGAGCACGGCGUGUUUAGUAAAUUGUAGACCGUCGCUCGUAGUCUAUAUUUUCAUCAGUCUUUCCAAAAUCUACCAAAAUAUUGACCGCAAUGUCCAGACGGAAUGGAUAUAACCACAUAAUCGUAAAACUCUGUAUUUAUGUUCUGGAGGUUUUUACUCACCUUUCAA